rnacentral:rRNA from 1 species
GACGAACGCUGGCGGCGUGCUUAACACAUGCAAGUCGAACGGAAAGGCCCUGCUUUUGUGGGGUGCUCGAGUGGCGAACGGGUGAGUAACACGUGAGUAACCUGCCCUUGACUUUGGGAUAACUUCAGGAAACUGGGGCUAAUACCGGAUAGGAGCUCCUGCUGCAUGGUGGGGGUUGGAAAGUUUCGGCGGUUGGGGAUGGACUCGCGGCUUAUCAGCUUGUUGGUGGGGUAGUGGCUUACCAAGGCUUUGACGGGUAGCCGGCCUGAGAGGGUGACCGGCCACAUUGGGAAUGAGAUACGGCCCAGACUCCUACGGGAGGCAGCAGUGGGGAAUAUUGCACAAUGGGCGGAAGCCUGAUGCAGCAACGCCGCGUGCGGGAUGACGGCCUUCGGGUUGUAAACCGCUUUCGCCUGUGACGAAGCGUGAGUGACGGGAAUGGGUAAAGAAACACCGGCGAACUACGU